rnacentral:lncRNA from 10 species
CAUGUCUCCUCCUCCCUGGUCCUCAGACCUCUUCGUAGGACUCACAGUCCACUUAGCCUCCCGUCCUCCAUCGCUACCCACCAGUAGGGUCCUGUACCCUUGGGGACAGCUGCACUUGUGUUGACGGGACACCGUGUGAGGAGUGGUGCUGGCUGUACCUCAGCAGCUGGGGCCCACCUUUUUUGUGACACGCCACAGCCUCCUGUGUGUUUUGCAUGACACGCUGUGUUGUAAUUUCUUUGUGCACAGUCUUCAGGCCUCACCACGUGCUACUGGAGUAACACCCGUGUCAGUUAUGGAGCCUCACACAGCAGAUGUGUCUAGUAAAUACUGUGAAUAGCGUAUACUGUGUUUUGCUUUUGUUUUCUUUAGUAAUGAGGUCUCGUUAUGUUGCCCAGGCUGGUCUCAAACUCCUGAGCUCAAGCGCUCUUCCUUCCUCGGCCUCCCAGGUAGCUGGGAUUACAAGUGUGUGAUACUACGCCCAGCUAUACUGCAUUAUUGAACCAGCUUCCUGGCUGUUUCCCCUACUCUGAACCUGGUGGUCUGUAACCCCUGACCACAGCUGUUCCU